AUUGAACGCUGGCGGCAUGCUUUACACAUGCAAGUCGAACGGCAGCACGGACUUCGGCCUGGUGGCGAGUGGCGAACGGGUGAGUAAUACAUCGGAACGUGCCCAGUUGUGGGGGAUAACUACUCGAAAGAGUAGCUAAUACCGCAUGAGAACUGAGGUUGAAAGCAGGGGAUCGCAAGACCUUGCGCAACUGGAGCGGCCGAUGGCAGAUUAGGGAGUUGGGGGGAUAAAAGCUUACCAAGCCGACGAUCUGUAGCUGGUCUGAGAGGACGACCAGCCAGACUGGGACUGAGACACGGCCCAGACUCCUACGGGAGGCAGCAGUGGGGAAUUUUGGACAAUGGGCGAAAGCCUGAUCCAGCAAUGCCGCGUGCAGGAUGAAGGCCUUCGGGUUGUAAACUGCUUUUGUACGGAACGAAAAGCUUCGGGUUAAUACCCUGGAGUCAUGACGGUACCGUAAGAAUAAGCACCGGCUAACUACGUGCCAGCAGCCGCCGUAACAC
rnacentral:rRNA from 1 species